CCUGUAGAAGCAUUACCUUCUGGAUCAGGAGAGUGCAACGUCGCUGUAAUAAACUGUGAGGUGGAAAGCCGCUUUACAUUCUGUCUCGCACUGAGCUCACUUGAUCCAUAUGAGUAAGGCAGGAGGUACUAUCUAUACUACGCCAGUUUCUCAGCAGUCGAGUUGAACUCGGGUGGGAAGUGACCGGACGAGAGGUACACCCAGCAAGGGCUCUGUCUACAACUAAAGUCUGCCCUCUGCUGGUCACAGGCCACCCAGAAUGCAACACAAUGUGGCCCCAGAGUCUACAGAACCAUUUUGGAAAUGACUAAAUGUAUUCAGCUACAGCAUUACAGAGAGAUGAAGCUUUCUGCAGAGAAUUCAUCUUUAAUUUUUUCCAUAUUUUGAAAUAUAUACACAAAGGAGCUGGCUCAAACAAAUGGAAAAAAAGACAUUAGGUAAUUUGAACCCAGAGUAGAGAUUAGAUAAUUGUCUUGGAUGGGACUUUGGGAGUAGUCACAGGAGAUGAGACAUCAUCUUGUUGAGAUGUUCUUCAGGGAAUAUCAGGUUUGUGGGACUGAGCUCUACAUUGAUGUGACUGAAGUCUCUUAGCAGGAUGUCUCUGGAAUCCUUCACAAUGACUGUGAGUCCCUUUUGAGAGAUGUCAAUAGUUUGCUUACUGAGAAUGGUCUCCAUUUUCAGAGUACAUACAGCAAAGGUUAUAAUAGAAUUGCAGAGUAGGGGCAAUGCAAGAACAGAGGGAUGGUGGAACUGGCUCAGUAAUUUAGACUAGGCUUCUUUAUAUAACCAGGGACUAAAAUAGCUUGGAUUUACAUGGGAGUAAGUAUUUUGUACACUGGAUAGAGUUAAACACACACACACACACACACACACACACACACACACACACACACACCUGGACAGAAUGUAUAGAGUAGCAUUUUUAGGUUCUGAAAAAUUAAAUAGUAGCUGGCAAUUGAGGAAGAGGACUAGAAUUUGAAAUGCAAUAAAACUGGGGGUGAGAUUUUUCAUUUUUUUUCUUCCAAGUAACCAGAUGGACUUGAAUGUGGUAUCUACAUAGCAAGAGCAAGAUAGUUCCCUCUAGUUCUGGUUCAAAGAGCAGAGAAUUGUCUCUACAGAUUAGGGGGGGUUCCCAUCUUUUUUCUCCAUUCCUCCACACCCCAGUCCCUAAUAAAUGCCACUGUGGCUUUUUUUUAAAACAUGUUUGUUGAUUUAUUUAUGGAUAGAGAGAGGGAGAAAUUGAGAAGGGAUGGGGGGGAUAGAGAGAAAGAGACAGAGACACCUGCUGCCCUGCUUCACCACUCAUGUAGUUUUCCCCUUGGAACUGGGGACCAGGAGCUUGAACUUGGGUCCUUGUGCACUUAACCAGCCAAGCGCACCACUGUCUGGCCCCUUCCACUGUGGCAUUUGGAGUGACUAUAAUGAUAACUGGACCUAAACGACUCAAAAAUUCCAAGGAAGAGGAAGUUUUCCUCUGACCAGAGAAAUGUCCCAUAGAGUGUGUGAAGUAACUCAUAUGACUCUCUCUCCUCUUGCUGGUUGGUUCUGAACAUCACUGCAAUUACAAAAUAUGUGAAAGACAGUAGAUAAAUAUAGCCAAACUUUUGGAUUGGAGAACUCUAUAUGAUCAGAAAGUGCUAGAGGGUUUGCCAUAGAGAAGAGAUUGGGAAAGCAAUUCCAUAAAUUGAUUUAUGAACUUCUAGGCUCAUUUCCAAGUCACAAAUAUAUGGAUUUAACUCUAAAUAGCUUAACUUAGAAUUUAAGAAUUGAGAUAUGGUGGUCAGGAGGUAGUGCAGUGGGUUAAGUGCACAUGAAACAAAGCACAAGAAUCCCGGUUCAAGCCCCCAGCCUCCCAUCUGCAGGGUGGUCGCUUCACAAGUGGAGAAGCAGGUCUUCAGGUGUCUAUCUCUCCCUUUCUCUGUCUUCCCCUCCUCUCUCGAUUUCUCUCUGUCCUAUCCAACAGCGAUAACAAUAGCAAGGGCAACAAAAAUGGGAGAAAUGGCCUCCAAGAGCAGUAGAUUCGUAAUGCAGGCACAGAGCCCCAGCAGUAACCCUGGAGGUGGAAAAAAAG